rnacentral:snoRNA from 1 species
UGGCAGUGAGGACAUAAAGUGUUAACUGAACUACUGUGAUUCAUUUAUACGCUAUUCUGAGCCAACU